rnacentral:lncRNA from 1 species
GAUAAAAAACAAGAUAUUCAAUGAAGACAAAAAUUCUGCUCCUGGAAGUGUUCCUGAGCAAGCACUGCCCCAUCCUUAUCAUUUUUUGGAAGAGGGGCUUUAUCCACCCCCAUGCACUUCCCAGGGUCACUGAGAUUUAUUAGCAAGAGAGUCUUUUCACUGGAAGAUCCAAAUGCAAAGUUUGCAGGUGGGCAUGGUCCUGAGCUGAGUGCUUGAAUGGGGGAUGGCAGGAGAAGAAUUCCUCAUCUUCCUGCUCAGUGAUUCAUUUGCACCAAAAGGGAGAAUAAAACCUGGGCCAAAAAAAAAACCAUGGCUUCCACUGGCUCCCAGGUACAGCCCUGCAGAAGUAAUCACUUUAUAGAAGCUAAUAAAGAAUGGAUUAAGCUACA